rnacentral:rRNA from 1 species
GACGAACGCUGGCGGCGUGGAUUAGGCAUGCAAGUCGAACGGUAUCAUCCUUCGGGGGUGAGAGAGUGGCGAACUGGUGAGUAACACGUAGGUUAUCUACCCUCAAGACGGGGACAACCCAGGGAAACUUGGGCUAAUACCGGAUGUGAGCAACUUUAGUUGUUUGAAAGGUGGCGUAAGCUGUCGCUUGGGGAUGAGCCUGCGUCCUAUUAGUUAGUUGGUGAGGUAACGGCUCACCUAGGCAAUGAUAGGUAGGCGGCCUUAACGGGUGGUCGCCCACACUGGGAUUGAGAUACGGCCCAGACUCCUACGGGAGGCAGCAGUCGAGAAUAGUCUACAAUGGUCGGAAGACUGAUAGUGCGACGCCGCGUGAACGAUGAAUCCCUUCGGGGUGUAAAGUUCUUUUAUAUGUGAGCAGUGCUUCUUAUAUUAACAGUAUGGGGAGAGAGAUAUUAGCAUAUGAAUAAGCAACGGCUAACUCCGUG